UGCAGUAUGUUUUAAACUUUCCUGAUUUUGUUUUUCAUGGUUUUAUCCCCCAUGAUGCAAACAAUUAAUGUUCUAGAACUUAGCUGCCUUAGCUUCCAAUCCUUAGCUUUAAGGAUUCAUGUCCACCUAAUUAACAACUUUUGGUAAAAACAAAGAAAAAAUCUCAGCUAACUGUGAAGGAACUGUCCUCUCUCUGUGUGCAGCUGCAGGGCAGGAGACACCAUUCUGCACCAUAAAAAAUGAGUUCAAAGAAUCCGACCUAAUAAGGCGUGGAACUAAAAACAUCGAUGAGUUAUCAAUCUUACUCUCCUGUCAACGUUAUGAUGCUGUAAUCAUACGGAGAGCAAAGUUGAGGACUACAUGAUUUCUUGACUUAUAAAGCUACAAUAAUCAGUGCAGUAUGGUAUGCUGUCAGGGUAGAAAAUAGAUCAACAGAACAGAAUAGAGUCCAGAAAUAGACCCACAUGUAUGUGGUCAAAGAUGCCAGCAGAUGGUCCUGGUUAGAUGAUCCUGAAUCAUCCGUGGAAGAGAGAAGGGGAUCUCUCAGCCUGAAUGUAUGACAUAUCCCACAGAAACCCCUGGAUAUGUC
rnacentral:lncRNA from 1 species